rnacentral:tRNA from 1 species
GCGGGCGUGGCGGAACUGGCAGACGCGCGGGACUUAGGAUCCCGUGGCCGAAAGGCUGUGCAGGUUCGAUUCCUGUCGCCCGCA